GCUGAUGCGUUGUUGGGUAGGGGAGCGUUCUGUAAGCCUGCGAAGGUGACCUGUGAGGGUUGCUGGAGGUAUCAGAAGUGCGAAUGCUGACAUAAGUAACGAUAAAGCGGGUGAAAAGCCCGCUCGCCGGAAGACCAAGGGUUCCUGUCCAACGUUAAUCGGGGCAGGGUGAGUCGACCCCUAAGGCGAGGCCGAAAGGCGUAGUCGAUGGGAAACGGGUUAAUAUUCCCGUACUUGGUGUUACUGCGAAGGGGGGACGGAGAAGGCUAUGUUGGCCGGGCGACGGUUGUCCCGGUUUAAGCGUGUAGGUGUGUGUUCCAGGUAAAUCCGGUUCACUUUAACACUGAGGCGUGAUGACGAGGCACUACGGUGCUGAAGCAACAAAUGCCCUGCUUCCAGGAAAAGCCUCUAAGCAUCAGGUAACAUCAAAUCGUACCCCAAACCGACACAGGUGGUCAGGUAGAGAAUACCAAGGCGCUUGAGAGAACUCGGGUGAAGGAACUAGGCAAAAUGGUGCCGUAACUUCGGGAGAAGGCACGCUGACACGUAGGUGAAGUGAUUUACUCACGGAGCUGAAGUCAGUCGAAGAUACCAGCUGGCUGCAACUGUUUAUUAAAAACACAGCACUGUGCAAACACGAAAGUGGACGUAUACGGUGUGACGCCUGCCCGGUGCCGGAAGGUUAAUUGAUGGGGUCAGCGCAAGCGAAGCUCCUGAUCGAAGCCCCGGUAAACGGCGGCCGUAACUAUAACGGUCCUAAGGUAGCGAAAUUCCUUGUCGGGUAAGUUCCGACCUGCACGAAUGGCGUAAUGAUGGCCAGGCUGUCUCCACCCGAGACUCAGUGAAAUUGAACUCGCUGUGAAGAUGCAGUGUACCCGCGGCAAGACGGAAAGACCCCGUGAACCUUUACUAUAGCUUGACACUGAACAUUGAGCCUUGAUGUGUAGGAUAGGUGGGAGGCUUUGAAGUGUGGACGCCAGUCUGCAUGGAGCCGACCUUGAAAUACCACCCUUUAAUGUUUGAUGUUCUAACGUGGACCCGUAAUCCGGGUUGCGGACAGUGUCUGGUGGGUAGUUUGACUGGGGCGGUCUCCUCCUAAAGAGUAACGGAGGAGCACGAAGGUUGGCUAAUCCUGGUCGGACAUCAGGAGGUUAGUGCAAUGGCAUAAGCCAGCUUGACUGCGAGCGUGACGGCGCGAGCAGGUGCGAAAGCAGGUCAUAGUGAUCCGGUGGUUCUGAAUGGAAGGGCCAUCGCUCAACGGAUAAAAGGUACUCCGGGGAUAACAGGCUGAUACCGCCCAAGAGUUCAUAUCGACGGCGGUGUUUGGCACCUCGAUGUCGGCUCAUCACAUCCUGGGGCUGAAGUAGGUCCCAAGGGUAUGGCUGUUCGCCAUUUAAAGUGGUACGCGAGCUGGGUUUAGAACGUCGUGAGACAGUUCGGUCCCUAUCUGCCGUGGGCGCUGGAGAACUGAGGGGGGCUGCUCCUAGUACGAGAGGACCGGAGUGGACGCAUCACUGGUGUUCGGGUUGUCAUGCCAAUGGCACUGCCCGGUAGCUAAAUGCGGAAGAGAUAAGUGCUGAAAGCAUCUAAGCACGAAACUUGCCCCGAGAUGAGUUCUCCCUGAGACUUAG
rnacentral:rRNA from 4 species